rnacentral:rRNA from 1 species
GAUCCUGGCUCAGAUUGAACGCUGGCGGCAUGCCUUACACAUGCAAGUCGAACGGCAGCACGGGAGCUUGCUCCUGGUGGCGAGUGGCGAACGGGUGAGUAAUACAUCGGAACGUACCCUGAAGUGGGGGAUAACGUAGCGAAAGUUACGCUAAUACCGCAUAUUCUGUGAGCAGGAAAGAGGGGGAUCGCAAGACCUCUUGCUUUAGGAGCGGCCGAUGUCGGAUUAGCUAGUUGGUGAGGUAAAGGCUCACCAAGGCGACGAUCCGUAGCGGGUCUGAGAGGAUGAUCCGCCACACUGGGUCUGAGACACGGCCCAGACUCCUACGGGAGGCAGCAGUGGGGAAUUUUGGACAAUGGGCGCAAGCCUGAUCCAGCCAUGCCGCGUGAGUGAAGAAGGCCUUCGGGUUGUAAAGCUCUUUCGGUGGGGAAGAAAUUGCACAGGAUAAUACCUUGUGUAGAUGACGGUACCCGCAUAAGAAGCACCGGCUAACUACGUG